rnacentral:tRNA from 1 species
GCCUGGCUGGCUCAGUCGGUAGAGCAUGUGAUUCUUGAUCUCCUGGGUGGUGAGGUCAAGCCCCAUGCUGGGCA